GAGGGUAUAACUCAGUGGUUAGAGUGAGUGCUUAGCAUGCAUGAUGUCCUGGGUUCAAUCCCCAAUUCCUCCA
rnacentral:tRNA from 1 species